rnacentral:rRNA from 1 species
UCCACGCCGUAAACGAUGAGAACUAAGUGUUGGAGUGAAAUUCAGUGCUGAAGUUAACGCAUUAAGUUCUCCGCCUGGGUAGUACGGUCGCAAGACUGAAACUCAAAGGAAUUGACGGGAACCCGCACAAGCGGUGGAGUAUGUUGUUUAAUUCGAAGAUACACGAAGAACCUUACCAGGUCUUGACAUACCAUUGACCGGUGCAGAGAUGCAUCUUUCCUUCGGGACAAUGGAUACAGGUGGUGCAUGGUUGUCGUCAGCUCGUGCCGUGAGGUGUUGGGUUAAGUCCCGCAACGAGCGCAACCCCUAUUGAUAGUUGCUACCAUUAAGUUGAGGACUCUAUUGAGACUGCCAGUGAUAAACUGGAGGAAGGUGGGGAUGACGUCAAAUCAUCAUGCCCUUUAUGACCUGGGCUACAAACG